GACAAACGCUGGCGGCAUGCCUAACACAUGCAAGUCGAACGGACAGAACAGGGAAGCUUUUCGGAGUGGAACUGGAAAGUUAGUGGCGGAUGGGUGAGUAACGCGUGGACAACCUACCUUGUAAAGGGGAAUAACCUCGAGAAAUCGAAGCUAAUACCCCAUAAUAACCUUGCUUCGCAUGAAGUAAGGAGGAAAGGCGGCCUUAGCGCUGUCGAUACAAGAUGGGUCCGCGUCUGAUUAGCUAGUUGGUGAGGUAAAGGCUCACCAAGGCGACGAUCAGUAGCCGGCCUGAGAGGGUGAACGGCCACACUGGGACUGAGACACGGCCCAAACUCCUACGGGAGGCAGCAGUGGGGAAUCUUCCGCAAUGGGCGAAAGCCUGACGGAGCAAUGCCGCGUGAGUGAAGAAGGCCUUCGGGUUGUAAAACUCUGUCCUUAUCGAAGAGAGAGUGUUGUAGUAACUGACAAUACUAGGACGGUAGAUGAGGAGGAAGCCCCGGCUAACUAUGUG
rnacentral:rRNA from 1 species